GCUUGUGGAACGAGCGGCGGACGGGUGAGUAACACGUGGGCAACCUACCUGUAAGACUGGGAUAACUCCGGGAAACCGGGGCUAAUACCGGAUGAAACAAAGCGUCGCAUGACGCAAUGUUAAAAGGCGGCAUAUGCUGUCACUUACAGAUGGGCCCGCGGCGCAUUAGCUAGUUGGUGAGGUAAAGGCUCACCAAGGCAACGAUGCGUAGCCGACCUGAGAGGGUGAUCGGCCACACUGGGACUGAGACACGGCCCAGACUCCUACGGGAGGCAGCAGUAGGGAAUCUUCCGCAAUGGACGAAAGUCUGACGGAGCAACGCCGCGUGAGUGAUGAAGGUUUUCGGAUCGUAAAACUCUGUUGUUAGGGAAGAACAAGUGCCAUUCGAAUAGGUUGGCACCUUGACGGUACCUAACCAGAAAGCCCCGGCUAACUACGUGCCAGCAGCCGCGGUAAUACGUAGGGGGCAAGCGUUGUCCGGAAUUAUUGGGCGUAAAGCGCGCGCAGGCGGUCCUUUAAGUCUGAUGUGAAAGCCCACGGCUUAACCGUGGAGGGCCAUUGGAAACUGGAGGACUUGAGUACAGAAGAGGAGAGUGGAAUUCCACGUGUAGCGGUGAAAUGCGUAGAGAUGUGGAGGAACACCAGUGGCGAAGGCGACUCUCUGGUCUGUAACUGACGCUGAGGUGCGAAAGCGUGGGUAGCGAACAGGAUUAGAUACCCCUGGUAGUCCACGCCGUACACGAUGAGUGCUAGGUGUUUAGGGGGUUUCCGCCCCUUAGUGCUGAAGUUAACGCAUUAAGCACUCCGCCUGGGGGAGUACGGCCGCAAGGCUGAAACUCAAAAGAAUUGACG
rnacentral:rRNA from 1 species